AUUUUGUGUUUCUGAGUCCUGGCUUUCUCACUUGCUUGUGCUGGCUGGAGUGUUACGAGGUGUGGGUAUGAACAGGGCUUUUAAAUACACGGGAAGACCCUUUCCACCCUCAUACUGUCUGACACCACCAUCCUUCCCGCAGAGGAGGCGAGAUCAUUGUAUUCUCCUCAACUCAGCAGUCUGCAAGAGCACAAGCCCCCUCCUAAUGGGACCUUCGUCCUGAGGAAUGUGUUCUGGGCUUUCUCACAGCCAUUGCGUCUCUGCAGGUACAGACUGAGUCUAGAAGGUUCCUUUUCUGAAAAUGUGGAAAAAUGACCCACCAAGGAGAAUAUAAUAGCAUGUGCUUCUGUUUUCUGUGUUGGUUCCACCCACACAAAUUGACUUCCUCUCUGUGACUGUCUUUUUAAACAACUGAUGCCAGAGGGUAGAUCAAGAGUGAGCUUAUGGAAAACCUCAUUUAGUUUCAAUGCUACCCGCUCUGUUUUUGUUAUCAAUAUAAUUCUGCAUCUGUGUCAUACAAUAAAUCUGGGAAGGUUAAAAACUUCUGCUGACCCAU